GCUUUGUACUGGUUUGAGACUGCACAGACUUUGAGUCCCUGAGGCAAGCCCCCUGCAAACUGAGGCUUUGGCUGCCCUUGCUGAGUCAACCAAGGCUUUCAAAAAGGCAGACUGUAAAAAGAAGGAAAGGCCUUUUUGGCCAAUGAAUCAGGCAGUUCAGACUGGAGUUGCCUCCUGGAUGCUUUUGGAGAUGUGGGGAAUGAAAACACAUUGAUCUGGACCAGAGUUUAACCUAAUGGUUAUUAGGCUAAUGCUCUUAUGGUUCCAGAAGGAUAAGAAUCCAUCACGGCAGGGAGGCAUGGCAACAGGAGGCAAGAAGAGAAAUCUGAGAGAUCGCAUUUCAACCACCUACAGGAAGCGGACAGCAAACUGGAAAUCUGAAUACAUCUAUGACCUGGGAAAAGAGAACAAAAGAAUAAAUGCUAUUAGCUUGAUAAGACCAAGAUGACAAAUCAGUACAGUGGAGGAAGAUGUGUAUUUUCCGGCAAAAACUCAACUGUUAGCCUUCUAGACAGAAGAGCCCAUCCUCUUCCGGUUCAGAAUUCUCCAGAGUAAAAUUGUCCCAAAGAGACUUCUAGCUAUACAUUCCUUUGAAUGACAUCCUGUGGAUAGUGUAAGAGAUGUCUCUCUGUCUCUGCUCACCUUGAAGGCUAAGUGGAAGCACCAUUUUUCUGGAAAUACCUUCCCCGGCCAGAGCACCUUCCAGCUGCUGGGGCUGAUUUCCUCACGCCCACCUGUGUCACAAUGACAUGGUACCCUGUGUUAGCUUACAUGACACAGCCUUGGGGUUACUUGUGUAUGCGUUUGCUUCCCAAAUUAACUGCAAAGACUUAAAGGCCAGGCUCCAGAGCGUAGUCACAGAGGCGCCUUCCUGCUUUACACAG